GUCUCAGUUCAGAUUGCAGGCUGCAACUCGCCUGCAUGAAGUCGGGAUUGCUAGUAAUCGCAGAUCAGCAUGCUGCGGUGAAUACGUUCCCGGGCCUUGUACACACCGCCCGUCACACCAUGGGAGUCGGUAACACCCGAAGUCGGUAGCCUAACCGUAAGGAGGGCGCCGCCGAAGGUGGGAUUGAUGACUGGGGUGAAGUCGUAACAAGGUAUC
rnacentral:rRNA from 1 species